AUUGAACGCUGGCGGCAUGCUUUACACAUGCAAGUCGAACGGUAACAGGCCGCAAGGUGCUGACGAGUGGCGAACGGGUGAGUAAUGCAUCGGAACGUGCCCAGUCGUGGGGGAUAACUACUCGAAAGAGUAGCUAAUACCGCAUACGAUCCAUGGAUGAAAGCGGGGGACCGUAAGGCCUCGCGCGAUUGGAGCGGCCGAUGUCAGAUUAGGUAGUUGGUGGGGUAAAGGCUCACCAAGCCAACGAUCUGUAGCUGGUCUGAGAGGACGACCAGCCACACUGGGACUGAGACACGGCCCAGACUCCUACGGGAGGCAGCAGUGGGGAAUUUUGGACAAUGGGCGCAAGCCUGAUCCAGCAAUGCCGCGUGCAGGAAGAAGGCCUUCGGGUUGUAAACUGCUUUUGUACGGAACGAAACGGCUCUGGUUAAUACCCGGGGCUAAUGACGGUACCGUAAGAAUAAGCACCGGCUAACUACGUG
rnacentral:rRNA from 1 species